ACCUGCCUGUAGACCGGGAUACUUGCGGAACGUGAGCUAAUACCGGAUAGCUGGUUUCUUCGCAUGAAGAAGUCAUGAAAGACGGGGCAACCUGUCACUUACAGAUGGGCCUGCGGCGCAUUAGCUAGUUGGUAGGGUAACGGCUUACCAAGGCGACGAUGCGUAGCCGACCUGAGAGGGUGAACGGCCACACUGGGACUGAGACACGGCCCAGACUCCUACGGGAGGCAGCAGUAGGGAAUCUUCCGCAAUGGACGAAAGUCUGACGGAGCAACGCCGCGUGAGUGAUGAAGGUUUUCGGAUCGUAAAGCUCUGUGGCCCAAGGAAGAAA
rnacentral:rRNA from 1 species